rnacentral:rRNA from 1 species
CAAGGAAUUUUCGUCAAUGGGCGCAAGCCUGAACGAGCAACGCCGCGUGUGGGAUGACGGCCUUCGGGUUGUAAACCACUUUUGAGGGGGACGAUCAUGACGGUACCCCUGGAAUAAGCCCCGGCUAACUCUGUGCCAGCAGCCGCGGUAAUACAGAGGGGGCAAGCGUUGUCCGGAAUUACUGGGCGUAAAGCGUACGCAGGUGGCCGUGCAAGUGUGAUGUGAAAGCCCCGCGCUUAACGCGGGGAGG